UCCCUGGUGGCUCAGCAGUAAAGAAUCUGCCUGCCAAGCAGAAGACAUGGGUUCAAUCCCUGAGUUGGGAA
rnacentral:tRNA from 1 species